rnacentral:rRNA from 1 species
UACGUAGGUGGCAAGCGUUGACCGGAUUUACUGGGCGUAAAGGAUGCGUAGGCGGAUGUUUAAGUGAGAUGUGAAAUACCCGAGCUCAACUUGGGUGCUGCAUUUCAAACUGGAUAUCUAGAGUGCAGGAGAGGAAAGCGGAAUUCCUAGUGUAGCGGUGAAAUGCGUAGAGAUUAGGAAGAACACCAGUGGCGAAGGCGGCUUUCUGGACCGUAACUGACGCUGAGGCGCGAAAGCGUGGGGAGCGAAC